AACGAACGCUGGCGGCAUGCCUAACACAUGCAAGUCGAACGAGACCUUCGGGUCUAGUGGCGCACGGGUGCGUAACGCGUGGGAAUCUGCCCUUGGGUUCGGAAUAACAGUGAGAAAUUACUGCUAAUACCGGAUGAUGUCUUCGGACCAAAGAUUUAUCGCCCAGGGAUGAGCCCGCGUAGGAUUAGCUAGUUGGUGGGGUAAUGGCCUACCAAGGCGACGAUCCUUAGCUGGUCUGAGAGGAUGAUCAGCCACACUGGGACUGAGACACGGCCCAGACUCCUACGGGAGGCAGCAGUGGGGAAUAUGGGACAAUGGGCGCAAGCCUGAUCCAGCAAUGCCGCGUGAGUGAUGAAGGCCUUAGGGUUGUAAAGCUCUUUUACCCGGGAUGAUAAUGACAGUACCGGGAGAAUAAGCUCCGGCUAACUCCGU
rnacentral:rRNA from 1 species